rnacentral:rRNA from 1 species
UACGGAGGGUGCGAGCGUUAAUCGGAAUUACUGGGCGUAAAGCGCACGCAGGCGGUUUGACAAGCUAGAUGUGAAAGCCCCGGGCUCAACCUGGGAAUUGCAUUUAGAACUGUCAGACUAGAGUCAUCUAGAGGGGAGUGGAAUUCCAGGUGUAGCGGUGAAAUGCGUAGAUAUCUGGAGGAACAUCAGUGGCGAAGGCG